rnacentral:piRNA from 1 species
GCUGUGAGCCACCAUGUGGUUGCUGG